rnacentral:rRNA from 1 species
CCCUUAGAUGUUCUGGGCCGCACGCGCGCUACACUGAUGCAUUCAACGAGCCUAUCCUUGACCGACAGGUCCGGGUAAUCUUUGAAUCUGCAUCGUGACGGGGAUAGAUUAUUGCAAUUAUUAAUCUUCAACGAGGAAUGCCUAGUAGGCGCAAGUCAUCAGCUUGCGUCGAUUACGUCCCUGCCCUUUGUACACACCGCCCGUCGCUCCUACCGAUUGGGUGUGCUGGUGAGGAGCUCGGAUUGGCAGCAGUUGGUGGUUCGCCACCGGCUAUUGCUGAGAAGUCCUCCAAACCGCCCCAUUUAGAGGAAGGAGAAGUCGUAACA